GGAAUCUUGCGCAAUGGGCGAAAGCCUGACGCAGCAACGCCGCGUGAGGGAAGACGGCCUUCGGGUUGUAAACCUCUUUCAGGGGGGACGAAGCUUCCGGGGUGAAUAGCCCACGGGGUGACGGUACCCCCAGAAGAAGCCCCGGCUAACUACGCGCCAGCAGCCGCGGUAAUACGUAGGGGGCGAGCGUUGUCCGGAAUCAUUGGGCGUAAAGCGCGUGUAGGCGGCUUGGUCAGUCUGGUGUGAAACCUUGGGGCUCAACCCCAAGCCUGCACUGGAUACUGCCUCGCUUGAGUCCGGGAGGGGAGAGCGGAAUUCCUAGUGUAGCGGUGAAAUGCGCAGAUAUUAGGAAGAACACCGGUGGCGAAGGCGGCUCUCUGGAACGGUACUGACGCUGAGACGCGAAAGCGUGGGGAGC
rnacentral:rRNA from 1 species